rnacentral:rRNA from 1 species
UACGAAGGGGGCUAGCGUUGCUCGGAAUCACUGGGCGUAAAGCGCACGUAGGCGGCUUUCUAAGUCAGGGGUGAAAUCCUGGAGCUCAACUCCAGAACUGCCUUUAAUACUGCCAGUCUCGAGUCCGGAAGAGGUAAGUGGAACUCCUAGUGUAGAGGUGGAAUUCGUAGAUAUUAGGAAGAACACCAGUGGCGAAGGCGGCUCACUGGCCCCGGUACUGACGCUGAGGUGCGAAAAGCGUGGGGAGCAAACAGGG